GGCGGGGUGAGGCGGAGCUGCCGUAAGAUGGCGGCCCCGCGCCAGGCGGGCUGCCGGCGAGCGGCCCUUACCCGCCGGGAACGGUCCCCUUCCCACGGGAGACGGAUGGUCCAUGUACCAAGCAAACGAACCACUGAAAAAUCAUAUCUACUGGAAGCUGCAUAAUAAAAUACAGAGACUUUGAUUCCACUGGAUUUUUGCCACACCUUGGGUACAAGAAGCCAUAAAACCUGAGAGAAAAUAAAUAGAAAAUGCCUUAAAUUCAAGCUGAAUUCAUUUAACAGCCCCUUUUCCCCACUGAUUGUCUCAAGACUCAAAUUGGUCUAGACCUUCCUACCUGGAAUUGUUUAGUGUACAGUAAUGACUGUUCUUCCAAAUGGAUUUCAACACAUGUGAUGGAAGGAAUUUUUCUUUCCUUUUAUCUUGCCUCCUUUGAUGGGAAAAUUGCCCCCCUGCUGUGAGUUACAACAGGGCAGUUAACCAUUACAAAAAGAGCAAUUUCAGGGUGAGGGAAGUCAAAUAUGCUACUGUUAUUGGUUAACAGUUAAAUUUCUCAGCUUGCUGCUGGUUUUCUUCUAACUAAUAAAGGGGAGAACCAAG